rnacentral:rRNA from 1 species
CAAAACGACUCUCGGCAACGGAUAUCUCGGCUCUCGCAUCGAU